GAUGAACGCUGGCGGCGUGCCUAAUACAUGCAUGUCGAGCGAACAGACGAGGAGCUUGCUCCUCUGACGUUAGCGGCGGACGGGUGAGUAACACGUGGAUAACCUACCUAUAAGACUGGGAUAACUUCGGGAAACCGGAGCUAAUACCGGAUAAUAUAUUGAACCGCAUGGUUCAAUAGUGAAAGACGGUUUUGCUGUCACUUAUAGAUGGAUCCGCGCAGAAUUAGCUAGUUGGUAAGGUAACGGGUUACCAAGGCAACGAUGCGUAGCCGACCUGAGAGGGUGAUCGGCCACACUGGAACUGAGACACGGUCCAGACUCCUACGGGAGGCAGCAGUAGGGAAUCUUCCGCAAUGGGCGAAAGCCUGACGGAGCAACGCCGCGUGAGUGAUGAAGGUCUUCGGAUCGUAAAACUCUGUUAUUAGGGAAGAACAAAUGUGUAAGUAACUAUGCACGUCCUGACGGUACCUAAUCAGAAAGCCACGGCUAACUACGUG
rnacentral:rRNA from 1 species